rnacentral:tRNA from 1 species
GAGGUUAUAGCUCAAUGGUAGAGUGCACGCCUAGUAUACGUGGGGUCCUGGAUUUGAUCCCCAGUACCUCCA